CGGAUAGAAAUUCCAGUACAAUGUUAAGUACUAGUGGUGAAAGUAGGUAUUCUUGUCUUGUUUUUAAUCUUGGGAAAGAGCUUUCGGUUUUUCGCCACUGAGUAGUUGUGGGUUUUUCAUUUAAAGCCCUUUAGCAUAUUGAGGAAGUUCCCUUCUGUUACAAACUUUCUGCAUUUUUUUAAAUCAUGAAAUGUUAUUGAUGUUUUAAGUGUUUUUUCUGCAUCAGGUGAGGUAAUCAGGCGAUUUUUUUCCUUUACUGUAGUAUGUGAUGUAUCAUAAUGAUUGCUUUUCAUACAUUAAUUUACUCUUCCAUUCCUGUAAUAAGACCCAGUGGUCAUGAUUUGUCAUCAUUUUAAUGUGUACCUGGAAUUGGAAUUGGGUUGAAGUUUUGCAUCUACAUUCAUAAGAACUGUUAGUGUAUUGGUUUUUAAAAAUUUUCCUAUAAUGCUUUUGUCUGGCUUCAGUAUCUGAGUAAUGAAUGUCAACUUCUAUUUUUCUUUUUUGAAAAAUUUUAGAAGGAUUGGUGUUAAUUCUUCAUUAAAUGUUUGAUAAAACUCAAUAGCAAAGCUAUCUUACCCUGAUCAUUUCUUGGCUGGGAAGAUUUUGAUUACUUAUUCAAUAUUUAUACUUGUUAUGUAUCUAUUCAUAUUUUCUGGGUUUGUUUCAGAGUCAGUUUCAGUAUUUAGUGUGUUUCUAAAAAGGCAUCAAUUUCAUCCGUAUUAUUUACUUUAUUGGUGUAAUAUAUGUUCAUAGUACUCUCUUAUAAUCUCUUUUUUAAAUUCCUGUAAGUUCAUGAAUAAAGUACUCACAAUUUCUGGUUUUAGUACUUUGAAUCUUCUCUUUUGUUUGUGGUCAGUCUAGCUAAAUAAUUGUCAAUUGGUUGAUCUUUUCAAAUAACCAACUUUUGGUUGUAUUGCUUGUUUUCAUAUUCUGUUUCAUUAAUCGCUAUCUUUACUAUUUUCUACUGCUUGCUCUGUGUAUAGUUUGCUCUUCUUUUUCUAUUUUAUUUUAGUCAAAAGUUAGGCUAUUGGUUUGAUAUCUGUUUUCUAUUAGAUAAGGUUUCACCAUGCUGACCAGGCUGCUCUUGAACUCCUGGGCUCAAGUGAUCCACCUCCCUUGGCCUCUCAAAAUGCUGGGAUUGCAGACGAGCCACCAUGUCCGGUCACUGUUUUCUAUUUUGAAUGUAGGAACUUACAGCUAUAAAUUUCCAAUGUAGCAAUGAUUUCAUCACAUUUCAUAAAUUUUGAUAUAUUGUGUUUUUGUUUCCAUUCAUCUAAACUAAUUUAUCUUAAAAUUUCUUUUCGUGACCUAUUACGUGUUUAAGGAUAUUUUUCCUAUAUCUGUGCUUUUUUUUCAUUUUUAGUUUCACUUUAUUCAACAUAACUUGAAAAAGUUGCUUUGUAUUAUUUCAGUAUCCUUAAUUGUUUUGAGACUUGUUUGUUUGGCCUAGCGAUCUAUCCUGGAUGCUGUUUCAUGUGUACCUGAGAAAAACAUAUUUUCUGAUGUUUGAUGGACUGUCCUACAUAUGUGUGCAUGUGUUAGGUCUACUUUGUUUGUAGUGUUGUUCAAGUCUUCUAUUUUCUUGUUGCUAUUUAGUUUUUCUAUCCAUUAUUGAAAAUGGAGUAUUAUGUUUAUUGUGGCACUAUUCACAAUAGCAAAGACUUGGAAUCAACCCAAAUGUCCAUCAGUGACAGACUGGAUUAAGAAAAUGUGGCACAUAUACACCAUGGAAUACUAUGCAGCCAUAAAAAAGAAUGAGUU
rnacentral:lncRNA from 1 species